rnacentral:rRNA from 1 species
CGUGUAGGCGGCUUGGUCAGUCAGAUGUGAAAGCCCUGGGCUCAACCCAGGAAGUGCAUUUGAAACUGCCCCGCUUGAGUAUGGGAGAGGAGAGUGGAAUUCCCAGUGUAGAGGUGAAAUUCGUAGAUAUUGGGAGGAACACCCGUGGCGAAGGCGACUCUCUGGACCAAUACUGACGCUGAGACGCGAAAGCGUGGGGAGCAAACA